UUAAGCGACUAAGCGUACACGGUGGAUGCCCUGGCAGUCAGAGGCGAUGAAGGACGUGCUAAUCUGCGAUAAGCGUCGGUAAGGUGAUAUGAACCGUUAUAACCGGCGAUUUCCGAAUGGGGAAACCCAGUGUGUUUCGACACACUAUCAUUAACUGAAUCCAUAGGUUAAUGAGGCGAACCGGGGGAACUGAAACAUCUAAGUACCCCGAGGAAAAGAAAUCAACCGAGAUUCCCCCAGUAGCGGCGAGCGAACGGGGAGGAGCCCAGAGCCUGAAUCAGUGUGUGUGUUAGUGGAAGCGUCUGGAAAGGCGCGCGAUACAGGGUGACAGCCCCGUACACAAAAAUGCACAUGCUGUGAGCUCGAUGAGUAGGGCGGGACACGUGGUAUCCUGUCUGAAUAUGGGGGGACCAUCCUCCAAGGCUAAAUACUCCUGACUGACCGAUAGUGAACCAGUACCGUGAGGGAAAGGCGAAAAGAACCCCGGCGAGGGGAGUGAAAAAGAACCUGAAACCGUGUACGUACAAGCAGUGGGAGCACGCUUCGGCGUGUGACUGCGUACCUUUUGUAUAAUGGGUCAGCGACUUAUAUUCUGUAGCAAGGUUAACCGAAUAGGGGAGCCGAAGGGAAACCGAGUCUUAACUGGGCGUUAAGUUGCAGGGUAUAGACCCGAAACCCGGUGAUCUAGCCAUGGGCAGGUUGAAGGUUGGGUAACACUAACUGGAGGACCGAACCGACUAAUGUUGAAAAAUUAGCGGAUGACUUGUGGCUGGGGGUGAAAGGCCAAUCAAACCGGGAGAUAGCUGGUUCUCCCCGAAAGCUAUUUAGGUAGCGCCUCGUGAAUUCAUCUCCGGGGGUAGAGCACUGUUUCGGCAAGGGGGUCAUCCCGACUUACCAACCCGAUGCAAACUGCGAAUACCGGAGAAUGUUAUCACGGGAGACACACGGCGGGUGCUAACGUCCGUCGUGAAGAGGGAAACAACCCAGACCGCCAGCUAAGGUCCCAAAGUCAUGGUUAAGUGGGAAACGAUGUGGGAAGGCCCAGACAGCCAGGAUGUUGGCUUAGAAGCAGCCAUCAUUUAAAGAAAGCGUAAUAGCUCACUGGUCGAGUCGGCCUGCGCGGAAGAUGUAACGGGGCUAAACCAUGCACCGAAGCUGCGGCAGCGACGCUGAUGCGUUGUUGGGUAGGGGAGCGUUCUGUAAGCCUGCGAAGGUGUGCUGUGAGGCAUGCUGGAGGUAUCAGAAGUGCGAAUGCUGACAUAAGUAACGAUAAAGCGGGUGAAAAGCCCGCUCGCCGGAAGACCAAGGGUUCCUGUCCAACGUUAAUCGGGGCAGGGUGAGUCGACCCCUAAGGCGAGGCCGAAAGGCGUAGUCGAUGGGAAACAGGUUAAUAUUCCUGUACUUGGUGUUACUGCGAAGGGGGGACGGAGAAGGCUAUGUUGGCCGGGCGACGGUUGUCCCGGUUUAAGCGUGUAGGCUGGUUUUCCAGGCAAAUCCGGAAAAUCAAGGCUGAGGCGUGAUGACGAGGCACUACGGUGCUGAAGCAACAAAUGCCCUGCUUCCAGGAAAAGCCUCUAAGCAUCAGGUAACAUCAAAUCGUACCCCAAACCGACACAGGUGGUCAGGUAGAGAAUACCAAGGCGCUUGAGAGAACUCGGGUGAAGGAACUAGGCAAAAUGGUGCCGUAACUUCGGGAGAAGGCACGCUGAUAUGUAGGUGAAGUCCCUUGCGGAUGGAGCUGAAAUCAGUCGAAGAUACCAGCUGGCUGCAACUGUUUAUUAAAAACACAGCACUGUGCAAACACGAAAGUGGACGUAUACGGUGUGACGCCUGCCCGGUGCCGGAAGGUUAAUUGAUGGGGUCAGCGCAAGCGAAGCUCUUGAUCGAAGCCCCGGUAAACGGCGGCCGUAACUAUAACGGUCCUAAGGUAGCGAAAUUCCUUGUCGGGUAAGUUCCGACCUGCACGAAUGGCGUAAUGAUGGCCAGGCUGUCUCCACCCGAGACUCAGUGAAAUUGAACUCGCUGUGAAGAUGCAGUGUACCCGCGGCAAGACGGAAAGACCCCGUGAACCUUUACUAUAGCUUGACACUGAACAUUGAGCCUUGAUGUGUAGGAUAGGUGGGAGGCUUUGAAGUGUGGACGCCAGUCUGCAUGGAGCCGACCUUGAAAUACCACCCUUUAAUGUUUGAUGUUCUAACGUUGACCCCUAAUCGGGGUUGCGGACAGUGUCUGGUGGGUAGUUUGACUGGGGCGGUCUCCUCCUAAAGAGUAACGGAGGAGCACGAAGGUUGGCUAAUCCUGGUCGGACAUCAGGAGGUUAGUGCAAUGGCAUAAGCCAGCUUGACUGCGAGCGUGACGGCGCGAGCAGGUGCGAAAGCAGGUCAUAGUGAUCCGGUGGUUCUGAAUGGAAGGGCCAUCGCUCAACGGAUAAAAGGUACUCCGGGGAUAACAGGCUGAUACCGCCCAAGAGUUCAUAUCGACGGCGGUGUUUGGCACCUCGAUGUCGGCUCAUCACAUCCUGGGGCUGAAGUAGGUCCCAAGGGUAUGGCUGUUCGCCAUUUAAAGUGGUACGCGAGCUGGGUUUAGAACGUCGUGAGACAGUUCGGUCCCUAUCUGCCGUGGGCGCUGGAGAACUGAGGGGGGCUGCUCCUAGUACGAGAGGACCGGAGUGGACGCAUCACUGGUGUUCGGGUUGUCAUGCCAAUGGCACUGCCCGGUAGCUAAAUGCGGAAGAGAUAAGUGCUGAAAGCAUCUAAGCACGAAACUUGCCCCGAGAUGAGUUCUCCCUGACCCUUUAAGGGUCCUGAAGGAACGUUGAAGACGACGACGUUGAUAGGCCGGGUGUGUAAGCGCAGCGAUGCGUUGAGCUAACCGGUACUAAUGAACCGUGAGGCUUAACCUU
rnacentral:rRNA from 1 species